rnacentral:snRNA from 1 species
AUAUUUACCUGGCAGGAGAGAUACCAUAGGUUUUCCCAAGAUGAGGCUUAUCCAUCCCAGCAUUUCCCCCAUUGUGGGAAACUCUACCUCAUAAUUUAUGGUAGUGAGGGAUUGUGUUCGAGCUUUCCCAUG